UUGUUCCGGUCCAUUCCGGCCCAAUUUGGUAUUUCGGUCCGGACUUAAGAUGUCUGACAAUUUGGUAAAUUGUCUGAAAUGGUAGGAUGAACUUGUAAUUUUGAAUUCUUUUUCUCCUUCCUUGUGAGCCUGCGAUGAAGCAAAUCAGUUUCACUUUCCCUCAAUUUCCUAAUCCCUAAUUUCUCUCCUACCCUACGCCAGACACCUUCCGGCCUCCAGCCUUCCGCCACAAGCAGCAGCUCGUUUACUCAGUCUACUCCGCCGCAGCUCCUCUUGUUCCACCGCAGGUCGUCGUUGAUCUCCAUUCCGCCGGAUAAUUUGAGUAGGAAUCCUAUUUGGUAUCUUUCUUGGUGUUAUAGAAAAGCCCUAGAAAUGAACUCAGUGAGAACGCUUGCGUCGAGCCUCUUACGGUGGCCGAGUCAGACCAUUGAGUGGUGCAGUUGUGCGCCUCAUUACCAACCGCUGCAGCUACAGCAGUGGAGGGGGAUCCGGGUGAAGGUCCGGGACGGGAACCUGGAGCAAGCGCUGACUUUGUUGCAGCGGAGGAUGCAGUCAAGUGGGAUUGAGCGGCUUAUAAAGCGCCAGCAGACUCGCCACCUCAAGAACUCUGAGAAGCGUGUCUUGGCCCGCAAGAACCUUGAGCGCAAGAUCCGAUCCCAGGACCUCGCACGCAAGCUCAAAGCCAUUCUUGUCAAGAAAGUCAGGGGUCUCUAAGGACAGCUUCGGAGUAGUU